UACAGAGGGGGCGAGCGUUGUUCGGAAUUACUGGGCGUAAAGGGGCGCGUAGGCGGUUUUGCAAGCCAGAGGUGAAAUGCCUGAGCUCAACUUAGGAAUUGCCUUUGGGACUGCGAGGCUUUGAGGACUGGAGAGGUGAGUGGAAUUCCCAGUGUAGAGGUGAAAUUCGUAGAUAUUGGGAAGAACACCAGUGGCGAAGGCGGCUCACUGGGCCAGUUUCUGACGCUGCAGCGCGAAAGCGUGGGGAUCAAACAGG
rnacentral:rRNA from 1 species